rnacentral:lncRNA from 1 species
GUCUAGAAGGAAAUACAUCUGUCACUUAUCUGGAACUGAUCCCUUUUUCUUUUUCAUUUUUUAAAGAAAUCUCAUCUUCAUCCUUGAAACAUCAUUGCAUAUCCUUUGCCUCUGAAAUGGAAGGAUAAAGCUGCUAGGCAAUGUAUGCAAAAGUCUUACACACCAUCAGCAGCUACGUCCAGAAGAGCUGAGCCCUUAAUUUCUAGACUCUCCAUUCCACUCAGCUGGUGUGUUAUGUCUACACUACACAAGUUUAGAAAAAAAAAAGUUUUUGCAAGUUUUUCAAGAGAGAGCCCUACUGUGUUGUUUUUAAAACUUCCUUCUCAUUUUUCUGGUAUCUUCCAGCAAGCAGUGGGGAAACCUGCUUAAGCUCAUCCCUCUUUCACUUUGAAUUUCAUGGUGACACUUUUCUGGCACCACUGUCAGCAGAUCCUACUUUUAUGCAAAAUUGAAAAGACCAUGGAAAGUACUGCUUCUUCUCUGUCUGGAAAAGCAAGAGGCUUGGUGACAAUGUGAUUUCUUUCCCUGAAAUGUGGAAGGAUGAUUGGAGAAAAUGAAACACAGCACAGAGAUCAUUCUUCACUGGGGACCAGGGCCAUGAGCUAUGCGCUUCUUUAACUUUCAGUAGUUUCUGGACAAGGCUUAAAAUAAAUCAUAACACUAAGGCAGGAAGAGGUCUAUUUCUUUCCAGUGGUAUUUAAGAAAAUAGGAAAUCUAUGCAAUUUGAUUUUCACUCCAUUCAUGAAAACCAAAGAAUUUAACUAGUUUCCUUUGGACUCAUGAAAGAUGAAAGUCUAGUCUGUUCCCCCAAAUAGAGGGUCUAAAAGGAAACCUGGCGUCUGAGCACCUUGAAAUUUGAUUCGCUAAUCAUAAUUGAUCUUCACUGAGUUAGAGAAUAAAGGGGGAUGGGGGUCAGAUGGAGCUUGAGGAGUGAGGGAUUCACAGAGAGCUGU